GGAACCAUGAAGAUAAAUGACAAAAACUUGGUGAGCUUUGCACUAAGCUCGAGCCCAGUCGACAGGGAAGGCUGGCUGCUCAAGCGUGGUGAAGUAAACCGUGCCUACCAGAGGCGCUGGUUUCUGCUGAAGGGAAACUUGUUGUUCUACUUUGAGAAGAAGACCGACCGAGAACCGUUGGGUGUGGUCAUUCUCGAAGGCUGCACUGUGGAACUGGCUGAGAACGAGGAGAUGUUUGCCUUCAAGGUUGUAUUUCAUGGCUCUGGCAACCGGAUGUACAUGCUAUCAGCUGACACACAGGAGUCGAUGGAGGCCUGGAUGAAAGCAUUGGCAUGUGCCUCUUAUGACUACAUGAAGCUCAUGGUGGCUGAACUGCAGCGCCAGCUCAGCCAAGUUGCAGAAGCUGAACGACUUGCCAAGUGCGGCAACACCGUGCCCUUGCUCAUCGGAGGGCAGCUGCCUGGGAACCGCUCUGACAGCUGCCUGUGCGUGCGAGAUACUUCAUCGGGCCGUGCAGCACGUUUCAACCCUUUUGACCGCUGGAAGGAAGACGGGUGUAGUGGUAACGAGAGCGGUGAAGCGACCAAGCACGGUAGUGGUGUCCCGACUAGCACCCCGGUGUCGUCACGGUCGUCAACAAAGUACACAUUUGCUGAGCUUCAUCGACGGCACGGGAUGCGAUUUCGGAAACUCAUAGAGGAGCGGAAGCGAAAGGAGGAGAAAGAGCGCGGCUUGGAUCUGCUCAUUGAUCUCUGAGAGCUCUUAUUCAUGAACUCUGAAAAUAUUUUCUUUUUUAUCAACUAAAGGCACUCCAAGCCUGCUUGGGCUAGGCAUUAAUACUGCUUAUUGCACAAUUCAGUUAGCCUUGACACAACCGAAGGCCCCGUGCUUUUUUUGUGGCCUGUUUGUUUCACUGACUCAAGGAAGUAGCAGCUUGUUGAGGCUAUGCAAGUGUUCUGGGGAGUGCCAGAACGUUUAAAUGUCAUUUUGAGGCUCUGCAUUCUGUACAUAGCGCAACUUAACAAGACCCAGCUCACACUGAGCAGAACUAGCUUCACUUCCACUUCCUUGGUUCACAAAGUUGACAUAAAUGCUCGUCUCGUGUGCUGCCAAGAGCUUUAGUGCCACAGAUUAAUAUGUCCGGGGCUACUUGUGCAAUGAAAUUCACACGCAAGAGCCUGCUCAAGGUGCUGGUAGCACUUGCUGGUAGCACUGUUCAUGCCAGAAGCAAGAGAGAGUGAGAUGUGUGACAUCUGUGCUGAAUUUCACCGCAGCCCAUAUAUGCCUUAUUGCACUGGAGGGUUUUGCACAAGUUUUUCUUUUUUUCACAUGUGGGUUUCCUCAACCAAAACGAUGGUAUAUGAAUGACCACAGAGUGAUGGCUAUGUCGAUGGCACAGAACAAGCACAAUGGUGUAGCAGCACCGUUGAUCUUAUCUGCUGUGCAGGUGCCUGAGCAACUUCCUUGGGGUGUCUAUUUCCCAACGGUUUUUUUUUUUUUUUUUCGUUUGUGAAGUUGUAUACAUAAGAAGCUAGAAAAAACCUAACUCAAGUUUCUCUUUUUUAGCAAAGCCAAGAAAAACUUCCGAGAUAUUUGCAGUCACCUAUGUUAUACUUGUGUUACAUUUAUGCCAUCAUCAUGCGUGAGCUAGUCAUCUUAGAUGCCAGGCAUUAAUUCUGGCAUUUAAUUCACGUAAGUAAAGUAGUGGUUCCACUUUAGCAGUUAUAAUUGCUGUUUUUUCAUUUGUAUGCUAAUACCUGCCGCGGUGGUUAUGGUGCUCGACUGCUGACCCAAAGGUUGCGGUAUCGAAUCCUGGUUGUGGCGGUCGCACUUCAAUGGAGGCAAAAUGCUAGGGGACCGUGUGCUUAGAUUUAGGCCCAUGUCAAAGAACCCCAGGUAGUCUAAACUUCCGGAGCCCUUCACUACGGCGUCUCUCAAUCAUAUAGAGGUUUCGGGACGUAAAAUCCAAAAAAUUGAUAUUAUUAUAGCUUCUAUGCUAAUGAAAUCUAAAGAAUUUUUAUUAAUGAUUAGACCUUAUCGGGAAGCCUUCUUAAACUGCACGUAGCAAGUCACAUGCAGUUGGGAAUCAAGGCCUGUGCACCCCCCACCAUGGUAGCUUUGUGGCUAAUGUAAUGUGCUGCUAAGUGUGAGGACGCGAGUUCAAUUCAAGGCCACAGUGGCCGCAUCUAAAUGGGGCUGAAAUUCAAGAACGCCUGUAUACUCAGAUUCAUGUGAAUGUCUAAAAAAACGCAGGUGAGCAGAAUUAAUCUGGAGUCCGCUACCACUGCAUGCCUCAUGAUUUUAACGUGUAAUACCCACAAACUUCUCUUUUUAUCCUGUGUGCCAAAGUACUGGGCCACCAUUAUCUUCUUGAAGUGCAAUUUUAUGUGACCUGAUGGCACCGUUCUUGCCCCGUGCCACGUAUGGUAUUAUGUUGCUUCUAAUAGCAUCCAUGUAACAAAUGGCGACAAGUCACUAGUGGAAUGAAGCCUAAAAAUAGGGUUUUUACUUUUGCAUACAGAAGUGCGAAAGUUAAUAAAAGCUGCUAUGUAUUAACUGUUGUUGUUUACUUCAUAGGAGUUUGUAUGGUGACAGUUUCUUUAAACAAUUGUAUCAAUAUUUUUUCUUUUUUGCACAAUGACACUAGUAACACAUUAUACAGUAGACUCCCGUUAAAACUGAACCUGAAGGGACCAGAAAAAUGUGUUCCGUUUAACUGGAGUUCCAUUUACCGAGAGAUGAACAGGGGUGCAGAAUUCAAGUACGAAACCAAUCGUGUUUGAGUCAGUUGUUCCAUUUAAACAGCCGUUACGUUUAAGAGAUUUCUGUUUACUGAGAGUCUACUGCGCCCCUAAUUUAUCUGUACACCUGCUGAUCAUUGCAUCUUUCUUAGCAUGUUACUAAAAAUUGGCUGUUAAAUUGGCUGCAUAGAUGCAGACAAAGUGAAUACUACAACAGGCAGACCAUAACUCAUAGCAGAAGCUACAAGCUGAAAAUAUUCAUCAUGCUUUUGUUUACGCAUAGCAUGGACUUUUCUUCACGUGACCAUGACGGAAUUCGGGUUCCGACUCUGAUGCGAGGCUGUUAUGGUGUCCAUGGGCUCUGGCCUUUUCUUUCCCUCCCAACCACUUCUGUACUCUGUAAAUGCAACAGUACUGUUAUUAUGAGAAGGAAACAUAUCACUGCAUGUACGUAUGCCCAGAAUGAGAUCGAUAACCACCACUUUACACAAGUGCACAGAUAACAUAUUUAAACAUUGUUGUAACAGUCCUUUUGGACACAAGAUUUUCGUUUCAUCUGGUAUUUGUUUGUUCAUUACACGGUAUAAUGAGUGAAAACGUUUCUCAAAUAUAUUUUUUUAUGUCAAUGUUGAACUUGCAUUUGACAAUAACAAACCCCAAGAAUUUUCUGCCAUGGUCGUCUUACGUGCCAUACUGCACUGUUGGUUAGGAAACUGCCUGCAGCCUUAGUGCACGUGUGCUGUGGUGCACACACACCGCUGGCUUUCACGUCGCACUGCAAAGUGAUGAGCCGUGGUGUUGUACAGCAAACGUCUGAAAGAAUAAAGGCAAACCAAGUACUAAAGGGCUCAAUAAGCGAGCAUGCCUUGUACGGCUGCUUGGCAAGGGCGUAGCCAAAAAUUUGUUUCGGGGGGGGGGGGGGGGGGGGGGAUUUCAACCACCCUUAACGUAUGUUCGUGUGUGCAUUUAUACAUAUGCAUGUAUACAGGCACAUGCAAAAUUGAAAUAUUUAGGGGGGGGGGGUGUUCAGCUUCCCCCUCCCAGCUACACCAAUGCUACUUGGCAAUGGCAGAUGCCAGUGCAGGUCUUCUGCUGCAUGCAACCUGCAUGCUUCAGAUUGCAAAAAAGUCCCUUAGUGUUGUAGUUUUCAGGUGUUGUUUUGGGUUAUUAGAAUCCUCACAUAGGUUUUCAAAAAUACUGGGAAUUUUUUUACCAUGAUGAUGGGGGAAUCUGACCCCCAUAUUCUAGAACAUUUCUUCGCUCAACACUCUACCUCAACUCAAAAAGGUGGAUGGCAAUGCAGUCCCUCGAUAGAAGUGGUCGCUGCGAUGCAUUGCUACCUUGCAACCAUUCUUGAGAACAGUAGUGUCUUCUCGAGUCAAGAGGUGGUGCUGCUCUUGGCUCUGUGAAGUGUAGGAAUAGCUUCAGGUUGAGCAUCAUUUGAGAAUACGGGUGUAAACGUUUUGACCAGUCAAGGGCUCCUGACUGCUAACAUAGUGAUAAAUUUCAAUAAAUUUAAAAGCCAGCGAAGCAAAGGGUUCGCUUUAGAUCACCAAAGUUUAGGAUCACCUAGAGUUGAGCUAGUUGACAGGGAUUCAUUGUAAAAAAAACUAUUUGUACAGACGGGAACACUAUAGCCUGUGUCUGAUCACCUCAUCUUGUUUUCUACAAUGGCUCAGUCAGGUUCUUUCAAAAUGACGGUGGUCGGUAGGUCUACUAAAUGGCCUAUUUGCUGCUGGAAAGAACAGCCACAGAGAGUAUCGGAAAUGAAGGCUCAGGUAGCAACUUUCAGCUAUGUAGUUUAUUCACUGUACUAAUGCAGUAAUGCAGACUACUAUUCCUGCAUUGAUGCAAAGUGUGCAUAUCACCUUAUUUUCACACAAAAAUGUUUAGGUUUUUAAACAGUAAUGGAAGUCGAGCUGCAUGAGUGAAAUUUCCGUUGCAGUGCAAAAUUCUGAAAUCUUUUUUUUGGCAACUGUUUCAAUCAAUAGCUGUUAAAUGUCAGGAGAUUUUGCAUGUCAUGCGAUUUCAAUGCUGCAAUCUGCACACAUUUUGUCUUCCUGCAUUUGUCAACUGAAUAAACCAUUUCAUAGUUACUACCACUUGGGUGAUCAUUAUUCCGGUU